UUUUACAGAGGGAGAGACGUAAGGCAGAAGAAGAUUACAUGUACGAGUUGACAGCAUAAUUCACUGGCAGAAUUCCAAAAAGAUGCUAUCAGUCCAAAAGAAAAUGAUUCUGGGGAGCCAUCUGUUCUCCAGCUGCAGAGAUGUUUCUCUAAAGUGCAAUAAGUAUUGUUGAAACCAUCUUUACUGUAGCGGAAGUCAAUCACAGUCUGGAUUCAGAUGGGAGCUGGUUUAAGCAUUCAGAUGAAGAGAUACUUCGUCAUUUCUACCAGCCGCGUCCUAGCGAGUGCAGCUGCCGCUCCUUACCGGACCCACGAGUGAGGAGCCCCGAGGUCAUCACCGAGCAUGAACGCGGGAACGUCUGGGAAGGAAAUCUGAGGCCCUGCUCUGACGGUCAUAACAAAGGCCUUCGAGCCAACCGGCGUGUUCAAAUUCACCACGGCCCUUCCCGCGCUCCCCUCCCCGGAAACUUGACCACCUAGCCCAGAAAGCCGCAGCAGCUUCCUCAGGGACGCUAUCUCCCAUUUCAAACACCCAACCGAGAAAGCAGCGCCG
ensembl:lncRNA novel transcript